rnacentral:rRNA from 1 species
UACGUAGGGGGCGAACGUUGUCCGGAUUUACUGGGUGUAAAGGGUGCUCAGGCAGUCUUGUAAGUCAGAGGUGAAAUCUCAAGGCUUAACCUUGAAACUGCCUUUGAUACUGCUGGGCUUGAGUACGGAAGAGGCGGAUGGAAUUCCUGGUGUAGCAGUGAAAUGCGUAGAUAUCAGGAGGAACACCGGUGGCGAAGGCGGUCCGCUGGUCCGUUUCUGACGCUAAAGCACGAAAUCUUGGGGAGCAAACAGG